rnacentral:rRNA from 1 species
CAAUAGCGUAUAUUAAAGUUGUUGCAGUUAAAAAGCUCGUAGUUGGAUUUCGGGGCAGCCUGGCUGGUCCGCCGCAAGGCGAGUACUGGUCAGCCGCCCUUCCUCUCGAAAGCCCCGACUGCUCUUCGUUGCAGUGGUCGGGUAGUUCGGGACGUUUACUUUGAAAAAAUUAGAGUGUUCAAGGCAGGCCUACGCCUGAAUACAUUAGCAUGGAAUAAUGGAAGAGGACCUCGGUCCUAUUUUGUUGGUUUCCAGGGCCGAAGUAAUGAUUAAGAGGGACAGUUGGGGGCAUUCGUAUUUAAUUGUCAGAGGUGAAAUUCUCGGAUUUAUGAAAGACGAACAACUGCGAAAGCAUUUGUCAAGGAUGUUUUCAUUAA